GAUGAAGAACUCAGCGAAAUGCGAUAAGUAAUGUGAAUUGCAGAAUUCAGUGAAUCAUCGAAUCUUUGAACGCACAUUGCGCCCUCUGGUAUUCCGGGGGGCAUGCCUGUUCGAGCGUCAUUAUAACCACUCAAGCUCUCGCUUGGUAUUGGGGUUCGCGGUUCCGCGGCCCCUAAAAUCAGUGGCGGUGCCUGUCGGCUCUACGCGUAGUAAUACUCCUCGCGAUUGAGUCCGGUAGGUCUACUUGCCAGCAACCCCCAAUUUUUACAGGUUGACCUCGGAUCAGGAAGGGAUACCCGCUGAACUUAAGCAUAUCAAUAAGCGGAGGA
rnacentral:misc_RNA from 1 species